GUCUACUUGGAGGUUGUGGCCUUGAGCCGUGGCUUUCGGAGCUAACGCGUUAAGUAGACCGCCUGGGGAGUACGGUCGCAAGAUUAAAACUCAAAUGAAUUGACGGGGGCCCGCACAAGCGGUGGAGCAUGUGGUUUAAUUCGAUGCAACGCGAAGAACCUUACCUACUCUUGACAUCCAGAGAACUUUCCAGAGAUGGAUUGGUGCCUUCGGGAACUCUGAGACAGGUGCUGCAUGGCUGUCGUCAGCUCGUGUUGUGAAAUGUUGGGUUAAGUCCCGCAACGAGCGCAACCCUUAUCCUUGUUUGCCAGCGAGUAAUGUCGGGAACUCCAGGGAGACUGCCGGUGAUAAACCGGAGGAAGGUGGGGACGACGUCAAGUCAUCAUGGCCCUUACGAGUAGGGCUACACACGUGCUACAAUGGCGCAUACAGAGGGCGGCCAACUUGCGAAAGUGAGCGAAUCCCAAAAAGUGCGUCGUAGUCCGGAUUGGAGUCUGCAACUCGACUCCAUGAAGUCGGAAUCGCUAGUAAUCGUGGAUCAGAAUGCCACGGUGAAUACGUUCCCGGGCCUUGUACACACCGCCCGUCACACCAUGGG
rnacentral:rRNA from 1 species